rnacentral:rRNA from 1 species
GACGAACGCUGGCGGCGUGCUUAACACAUGCAAGUCGAACGGAAAGGCCCUGCUUGCAGGGUACUCGAGUGGCGAACGGGUGAGUAACACGUGGGUGAUCUGCCCUGCACUUCGGGAUAAGCCUGGGAAACUGGGUCUAAUACCGGAUAGGAGCCAUUUUUAUUGUGAUGGUUGGAAAGUUUUUUCGGUGUAGGAUGAGCUCGCGGCCUAUCAGCUUGUUGGUGGGGUAAUGGCCUACCAAGGCGGCGACGGGUAGCCGGCCUGGGAGGGUGGACGGCCAAAUUGGGACUGAGAUACGGCCCAGACUCCUACGGGAGGCAGCAGUGGGGAAUAAUGCAAAAUGGGCGCAAGCCUGAUGCAGCGACGCCGCGUGGGGGAUGACGGGCUUCGGGUUGUAAACUCCUUUCGCUAGGGACGAAGCUUUUUGUGACGGUACCUAGAUAAGAAGCACCGGCUAACUACGUG